ACUCAAAUGAAUAGACGGGGGCCCGCACAAGCGGCGGAGCAUGUGGAUUAAUUCGAUGCAACGCGAAGAACCUUACCUGGGUUUGACAUACACCAGAAAGCUAUAGAGAUAUAGCCCCCCUUGUGGUUGGUGUACAGGUGGUGCAUGGCUGUCGUCAGCUCGUGUCGUGAGAUGUUGGGUUAAGUCCCGCAACGAGCGCAACCCUUGUCUCAUGUUGCCAGCACGUUAUGGUGGGGACUCGUGAGAGACUGCCGGGGUCAACUCGGAGGAAGGUGGGGAUGACGUCAAGUCAUCAUGCCCCUUAUGCCCAGGGCUUCACACAUGCUACAAUGGACGGUACAGAGGGCUGCGAGACCGUGAGGUGGAGCGAAUCCCUUAAAGCCGUUCUCAGUUCGGAUCGGGGUCUGCAACUCGGCCCCGUGAAGUUGGAGUCGCUAGUAAUCGCAGAUCAGCAACGCUGCGGUGAAUACGUUCCCGGGCCUUGUACACACCGCCCGU
rnacentral:rRNA from 1 species